rnacentral:rRNA from 1 species
UGACCUCGGAGAACGUCGCGGAGAAGUACGGUAUCACGCGCGAGGUGCAGGAUCAGAUGGGUGUGGAGUCGAACGCCAAGGCGGCGGCGGCUC